GUAGGUGGCGAGCGUUGUCCGGAAUUAUUGGGCGUAAAGCGCGCGCAGGCGGUUCUUUAAGUCUGAUGUGAAAGCCCACGGCUCAACCGUGGAGGGUCAUUGGAAACUGGAGAACUUGAGUACAGAAGAGGAAAGCGGAAUUCCACGUGUAGCGGUGAAAUGCGUAGAGAUGUGGAGGAACACCAGUGGCGAAGGCGGCUUUCUGGUCUGUAACUGACGCUGAGGCGCGAAAGCGUGGGGAGCAAACAGGAUUAGAUACCCUGGUAGUCCACGCCGUAAACGAUGAGUGCUAAGUGUUAGGGGGUUUUCCGCCCCCCUUAGUGCUGCAGCUAACGCAUUAAGCACUCCGCCUGGGAGUACGGCCGCAAGGCUG
rnacentral:rRNA from 1 species